rnacentral:rRNA from 1 species
UACGGAGGGUGCAAGCGUUAUCCGGAUUCACUGGGUUUAAAGGGUGUGUAGGCGGGUCUGUAAGUCAGUGGUGAAAAUCUCCGAGCUCAACUUGGAAACUGCCAUUGAUACUAUAGAUCUUGAAUUUUGUUGAGGUAGGCGGAAUAUGUCAUGUAGCGGUGAAAUGCAUAGAUAUGACAUAGAACACCGAUUGCGAAGGCAGCUUACUAAGCAAAUAUUGACGCUGAGGCACGAAAGCGUGGGGAUCAAACAGG